rnacentral:rRNA from 1 species
CACGUAGGGUGCAAGCGUUGUCCGGAAUCAUUGGGCGUAAAGAGCUCGUAGGCGGCUUAGUAAGUCGGGUGUGAAAACCCCAGGCUCAACCUGGGGACGCCACCCGAUACUGCUAUAGCUAGAGUCCAGUAGGGGAGUGUGGAAUUCCCAGUGUAGCGGUGAAAUGCGCAGAUAUUGGGAGGAACACCGGUGGCGAAGGCGGGUCUCUGGGCCGAUACUGACGCUGAGGAGCGAAAGCGUGGGGAGCGAACAGG